GCCUCUGUGGUGUAGUGGUUAGAGCACGCGUCCCUGCAUAGGAUGAAACACAGGUUCGAUUCCCGCCUGAGUCC